AUGUCCACUGCGUGUGCCAGCGCCCAUGUCCGAGUACCACAUUUUCUCUACUUCCCUUGCACCUUUGGCUGCUGCCUCGGGAGGCCCUUUUGUCGUGCUUCAUUUUGGGUCGGCCAGAACGAGAACGCCAAGUACCGUCGCCGAAGACCCAUGUACAACUACCGUUGCCAAGACCCCGUGAACGUCUACACGACGACCGCCAAGUACCUCUUCGCGAGUACCACUACCAUCGCGUGGGUCUGCCAAGACUGUGGGGUAAACGAACAUGUACCACUACGCCCGGAGUCAUCGGAUCCGUCAAGUCCGAAGACCCUUAGUACCACGACAACCUCGAAGGGAUUUGUAUUCAUCAAGUUCGACUACAACGACCACAACGUGUACCACUACCAUCCUCGAAGACCCGUGUAA
rnacentral:rRNA from 1 species